rnacentral:tRNA from 1 species
GGGGCUGUAGUUCAGUGGUAGAGCAUCUGUGUGGCAAGCAGAAGUCCCAAGUUCAACACUCAGCAUCUCAA